rnacentral:lncRNA from 1 species
GGAAACAAUUAUUUUAUAUAUUUUAGAAUAAGGUUGUAAUGUAAAAAAGUGCGAAAAAGGGGAAGGGAUCUGAAUACUUUCCGAAUGCACUCUUGAAUUUGAACUUCAUACUCGUCGCCAAACCCACUGGCUCCAGGUCAUCUACAAGUCUUUGCUAGGCGAAAAUUGAAAAAAAGGGGCAGAUCCAUUAAGAGGUUCAUGAGUCCAACGUGAAGGAUAUACUGCUUCCCGGAGACCAGGCCCAAAUCCCUGUCAUUCGCUUGAAGAAAAGACGGAAAUACAGGGGGUGGAGGUCUGGGUGCCUUGUGAGAAUUCGUCGGCAAGUGAGUAAACCACCGCUACCCUAUGUAUUAUUUGCCAACGUGCAAUCAUUGGAAAACAAACUGGACAAUCUACGAUUAAGACUAUCCUACCAACGGGACUUUGCUGAACGACAACAGGGAUAAUGUAGAGCUGGCUGGCUUCUCUGUGUUUCGGCAGGACAGAGCAGCUACAUCCUGUACGACGAGGGGUGGGUCAUCAUCGGUGGCUGGGUGUGACAUGGUCCCGGUGACGGUAGUGGCAGCAGCAGCGGUUCGGCAUUGCUGUUCUCCCUAAAGCAAAGGACAAGACUGAAGCUGAACGAUCCUUUUUCAGCUGUGUGGUAAGUCAUUAAAUCAAUCAGGGCCAGGUUUGGCAGACCAGGGCCAACUCAGUCUCCAUGGAGACCAGCCAAGUGGAGGAGUCUGCAAUAACUCAGAAAAGGAGGGACAGGCAGAGCAAAACAUAGAAAACCACGAAAAAGAAAAGUAUUAAAUCCACAAAAAAAGAGCUGAUUUCACCACUACUACCACCUCCACUACUACCACCACUACUACCACCACUACUACCACCUCCACUACUACCACCUCCACUAUUACCACCACCACCACCACCACUACUACCACCUCCACUACUACCGCCACCACCACUACUACCACCUCAUCUACUACCACCUCCACCACUACUACCUCCACUACUACAACCUCCACUACUACCACCUCCACUACUACCACCUCCACUAUUACCACCACCACCACCACCACAACUACCACCUCCACUACUACCACCACCACCACUACUACCACCUCCACUACUACCACCUCCACUACUACCACCUCCACUAUCACCACCACAACCACCUCCACUACUACCAGUAUUAACCUGUUGGGGAUAGGGGGCAGUAUUUGCACGGCCGGAUAAAAAACGUACCCGAUUUAAUCUGGUUACUACUCCUGCCCAGUAACUAGAAUAUGCAUAUAAUUAUUGGCUUUGGAUAGAAAACACCCUAAAGUUUCUAAAACUGUUUGAAUGGUGUCUGUGAGUAUAACAGAACUCAUAUGGCAGGCAAAAACCUGAGAAGAUUCCUUACAGGAAGUGGCCUGUCUGACCAUUCCUUGAGCUUCUUGACUCUGUUUAUUGAAGACUGAGGAUCUUUGCUGUAACGUGACACUUCCUACGGCUCCCAUAGGCUCUCAGAAGGCGGGAAAAUGCUGAAUGAUGUAAUUCCAGCCCCAGGCUGAAACACAUUAGCGCUUUUGGCAAGUGCUCUAUCAGAGGACAAUGGGCUUAGGCGCGUGCAUGAGUCGACCACAUGUUUUUAUUUUCGUUCGUCUCUGAACCUAAACACAGAUUCCCGGUCGGAAUAUUAUCGCUUUUUUACGAGAAAAAUGGCAUAAAAAUUGAUUUUAAACAUCGGUUGACAUGCUUCGAAGUACGGUAAUGGAAUAUUUCGAAUUUUUUUGUCACGAAAUGCGUCGUGCGCGUAACCCUUAUUUACCCUUUCGGAUAGUGUAUUGAACGCACGAACAAAACGCCACUAUUUGGAUAGUGUCCUGGGAGUGCAUUCUGACGAAGAACACCAAAGGUAAUAACAUUUUUCUUAUAGUAAAUCUGACUUUGGUGAGUGCUAAACUUGCUGGGUGUCUAAAUAGCUAGCCCUGUGAUGCCGGGCUAUCUACUCAGAAUAUUGCAAAAUGUGCUUUCACCGAAAAGCUAUUUUAAAAUCGGACAUAUCGAG